CCCCAGCUCCCGAGUGGCUGAAAGCUGCCCAUUUGUCUCUGGGUUCAAGCAAAAGGGAGAAAUCUCUUCCAAAAUAGUCCACAAGAUGGCCUGGCCCCCUGGGACAGGAUCUGAGAGAGCCAAGGAACUGGGUGGACAUUUUAUGGAGGGUGUCUGGCUUGGGUGCCCUGUUAUAUGGAAGGCAUCUGCUAGCCUCUGUCAUCUGCACAUCUCACGAUGGGAGCAUCUUUGGCGAAGUGAGGGAAGGACUCCUGAAGGAACGCCACACUGGAAACACCUUCACCUUUGAAUUGGUCCCAUAUCUUAUCAGCCUCUUCUUUUUUCCCCAGAGCUGGCUGGUCCGGCUCAGGGCUUUGCACUUCCCCUGCAGCUGAGAGGCCCAUGUUCAAGCCGCAAGAAGCAUCCAGAACACCAGCGUCUCCCUGGGCGGUCAUUGCUUGGGAAAUCAGCACAGCUUGUGACAAACCCUCCCUGUGCAGUCCUGUUUCUAGAGGUGCCUUCUCUCCCCUCUCUUUCCAGGCAGAAGACCAGGGACUAAGAAAGGAACAAAUACUUCCUAUGCUGUGGGGCUGAUUUACUUAGUUACGUAAACUCACAUUAAAACAAAAAACAGGAUAUAGAGGGUCAGCGUUUUUCAGUGGCAGAGUGCUUG